GGAGAUUACAUUUCUAGAAUUAGUUAGAGGUCACUGGAAUUCAAUGUGUAGUGGUGGAAUACGUAGAUAUAUUGAGGAACACCAGAGGCUAAGGCGAGUGACUGGAACAUAAUUGACGCUGAGGCUUGAAAGCGUGGGUAGCAAAUGGGAUUAGAUACCCCAGUAGUCCACGCCGUAAACGAUGGGUAUUAGUCAUUUGGAUUUAAGCUGAGUGAUGUAGCUAACGCGUUAAAUACCCCGCCUGGGUAGUAUAUAUGCAAAUAUGAAACUCAAAGAAAUUGACGGGGACCUGAACAAGUGGUGGAGCAUGUUGCUUAAUUCGUUAAUACACGCAAAACCUUACCGAGGCUUGCAAUCCUCCGCGAAGCCAUAGAAAUAUGGUAGAGGUUAUCGGAGUGACAGGUGGUGCAUGGCUGUCGUCAGCUCGUGUCUUGAGAUGUUUGGUUAAGUCCCGUAACGAGCGCAACCCUUCAUAUUAGUUGUCUAGUUCUAAUAUGACUGAAUCGUAAGAUCUAGGAAGGAUGGGGCCAAGUCAAGUCAUCAUGCCCCUUAUGCCUCGGGCUGCAAACGUGCUACAAUGGUAGAUACAAUGUGUUACAAUCUAGCGAUAGUGAGUUAAUCACCUAAAGUCUAUCCCAGUCCGGAUAAAAGGCUGCAAUUCGCCUAUUUGAAGAUGGAAUCACUAGUAAUCCUGUGUCAGCUAUAUCAGGGUGAAUACGUUCCCAGGUCUUGUACACACCGCCCGUCAAACUACGAAAGAAAGUGCUAAUUAAAACCGUAUUUAAUUACGUCUAGAUU
rnacentral:rRNA from 1 species